UACGAAGGGGACUAGCGUUGUUCGGAAUCACUGGGCGUAAAGCGCACGUAGGCGGAUUUGUAAGUCAGGGGUGAAAUCCCGGGGCUCAACCUCGGAACUGCCUUUGAUACUGAGGAUCUUGAGUUCGGGAGAGGUGAGUGGAACUGCGAGUGUAGAGGUGAAAUUCGUAGAUAUUCGCAAGAACACCAGUGGCGAAGGCGGCUCACUGGCCCGAUACUGACGCUGAGGCACGAAAGCGUGGGGAGCAAACAGG
rnacentral:rRNA from 1 species